UACGAAGGGGGCUAGCGUUGCUCGGAAUUACUGGGCGUAAAGCGCACGUAGGCGGAUUGUUAAGUCGGGGGUGAAAUCCUGGAGCUCAACUCCAGAACUGCCUUCGAUACUGGCGAUCUCGAGUCCGGGAGAGGUGAGUGGAACUGCGAGUGUAGAGGUGAAAUUCGUAGAUAUUCGCAAGAACACCAGUGGCGAAGGCGGCUCACUGGCCCGGUACUGACGCUGAGGUGCGAAAGUGUGGGGAGCGAACAGG
rnacentral:rRNA from 1 species